rnacentral:rRNA from 1 species
AGCGAACGCUGGCGGCAGGCUUAACACAUGCAAGUCGAACGGGCACCUUCGGGUGUCAGUGGCAGACGGGUGAGUAACACGUGGGAACGUGCCCUCCGGUCCGGGAUAACUCAUGGAAACGUGAGCUAAUACCGGAUACGUGCUUUGGCAGAAAGGUUUACUGCCGGAGGAUCGGCCCGCGUCUGAUUAGCUAGUUGGUGGGGUAACGGCCUACCAAGGCGACGAUCAGUAGCUGGUCUGAGAGGAUGAUCAGCCACACUGGGACUGAGACACGGCCCAGACUCCUACGGGAGGCAGCAGUGGGGAAUAUUGGACAAUGGGCGCAAGCCUGAUCCAGCCAUGCCGCGUGAGUGAUGACGGCCUUAGGGUUGUAAAGCUCUUUUCUCCGGGACGAUAAUGACGGUACCGGAGGAAUAAGCCCCGGCUAACUUCGUGCCAGCCGCCGCCGUAAAAC